UACGUAGGGUGCGAGCGUUAAUCGGAAUUACUGGGCGUAAAGCGUGCGCAGGCGGUUCGCUGUGUCCGAUGUGAAAGCCCCGGGCUUAACCUGGGAAUGGCAUUGGAAACUGGCGGGCUUGAGUGCGGCAGAGGGGGGUGGAAUUCCGCGUGUAGCAGUGAAAUGCGUAGAGAUGUGGAGGAAUACCGAUGGCGAAGGCAGCCUCCUGGGCCAACACUGACGCUCAUGCACGAAAGCGUGGGGAGCAAACAGG
rnacentral:rRNA from 1 species